AUUGAACGCUGGCGGCAGGCCUAACACAUGCAAGUCGAACGGUAACAGAAAGCAGCUUGCUGCUUUGCUGACGAGUGGCGGACGGGUGAGUAAUGUCUGGGAAACUGCCUGAUGGAGGGGGAUAACUACUGGAAACGGUAGCUAAUACCGCAUAACGUCGCAAGACCAAAGAGGGGGACCUUCGGGCCUCUUGCCAUCGGAUGUGCCCAGAUGGGAUUAGCUAGUAGGUGGGGUAACGGCUCACCUAGGCGACGAUCCCUAGCUGGUCUGAGAGGAUGACCAGCCACACUGGAACUGAGACACGGUCCAGACUCCGACGGGAGGCAGCAGUGGGGAAUAUUGCACAAUGGGCGCAAGCCUGAUGCAGCCAUGCCGCGUGUAUGAAGAAGGCCUUCGGGUUGUAAAGUACUUUCAGCGAGGAGGAAGGUGUUGUGGUUAAUAACCACAGCAAUUGACGUUACUCGCAGAAGAAGCACCGGCUAACUCCGUGCCAGCCGCCGCUGUAA
rnacentral:rRNA from 1 species